rnacentral:piRNA from 1 species
UACCAUCAACAUCGAAACUUGCCUNUUCCCC